AUGACUUGGGAAAUUUUCAUGACUUGGGAAUUGUCCUGGCUAAUAAAUUGACUUGUUAUUUACCCUGUACCCCGGGGGAAAUCUGCAUUAAGACCGUGUUAAUCCACGGCCAUUCCCUGUUAAUUCCCCACCCUGUCCCGGGGGUUGGGGGUUUCAAUUGACUAGUGCAUGCAUAAACAUUGCAAAGGUCCAUUUUGUAAAUUAAUGGCACUAUGUAUUUAAUCUUAAUUUAUAGGGCCUGUGAGUUCAUAUCUGGAAUAAAAUAAUGGCAAUUCUACAGAAAUAUCACUGCUAAGGAGUGUCAAACAAAUUCAGGAGGACUGAAUUAACUGGAUGUUCUCAGGAUGCAAAAGAAAUUGUUGACUUUAAAUGAAUAAUCAUUAUCAUUAAUGUAAGGUUAAAAAUAUUGAACAUUCAAAAGGAUGCAAACAGAAAGUUGAAAGUAGGGCCUGAAUUUCAGGUUAAGUGAUCCAGGAAUGGGGUUGGCCCUCUGCAGGCUAAAUCAAUUGAGGGAGAUCCCUUUAUUUCAAGUUAAAUGAUUAUUUGAAUAAGAUGCCAUUCAGGCAAUAAGGGCCUGGUUAGGUCCAUAUUUUAAUUCAAAUUAUUAAGUACUCGAUUUAUCCAUCAACAAAACCCAACAUUAAAAUUUCCAUCGAGUGUGAUGCAACAAAACCAUCUAUAGUUUAUUAAUUAUGUUAACCUAACCCAUCAACUGG